UACGUAGGGGCUAGCGUUGUCCGGAUUUAUUGGGCGUAAAGAGCGUGUAGGCGGCCAUGUAGGUCCGGUGUGAAAACUCGAGGCUUAACCUCGAGAUGUCAUCGGAAACCAUUUGGCUAGAGUCCGGAAGAGGAGAGUGGAAUUCCUGGUGUAGCGGUGAAAUGCGCAGAUAUCGGGAGGAACGACCAAUGGCGAAGGCGAGGCUCGCUGGGACGGUACGUGACGCUGAGACGCGAAAGCGUGGGGAGCAACAGGGAUU
rnacentral:rRNA from 1 species